UGCCCAAGAGCUAGCCCCCCCCCCAAAAAGCAACAAACCACUAUUUAUAACCCCAAAUACACAAAUGUUUUUAUUAAACAAAUCAUUUUUCCCCCUUAGUAUGGGCGACAGAAAAGGGACUCUGGCGCGAUAGAGAAAGUACCGCAAGGGAACGCUGAAAGAGAAAUGAAACAACUCAGUAAAGCCUAAAAAAGCAGAGAUUUUAACUCGUACCUUUUGCAUCAUGAUUUAACUAGAAAACCCCAAGCAAAGCGCGCUUUAGUUUGAUACCCCGAAACUAAGUGAGCUACUCCAAGACAGCCUAUUAAUAGGGCACACCCGUCUCUGUUGCAAAAGAGUGGGAAGAGCUUUGAGUAGAGGUGACAGACCUACCGAACUUAGUUAUAGCUGGUUGCCUGAGAACUGGAUAGAAGUUCAGCCUCCCGGCUUCUUUCUUCACCCCUCGUCUUUACCCCUCCUGACGCCCAAAGAAACCGCGAGAGUUAGUCAAAGGGGGUACAGCCCCUUUGAAAUAAGAUACAACUUUACCAGGUGGGUAAAGAUCAUA
rnacentral:rRNA from 1 species